AACGAACGCUGGCGGCGUGGAUAAGACAUGCAAGUCGGACGAGAUUUUUCGUUGUAGCAAUACGAUGGAAAGUCUAGUGGCGAACGGGUGCUUAACACGUGGGCAACCUGCCAAGAAGUGGGGGACAGCUCGCCGAAAGGCGAAUUAAUACCGCAUGUGAUUAGAGAGGACAUCCUUUCCAAAUUAAAGUCGGGGCAACCUGACGCUUCUUGUGGGGCCCGCGGCCUAUCAGCUAGUUGGUGAGGUAACGGCUCACCAAGGCUUUGACGGGUAGCUGGUCUGAGAGGACGACCAGCCACACUGGGACUGAGACACGGCCCAGACACCUACGGGUGGCAGCAGUCGAGAAUUUUUCUCAAUGGGGGAAACCCUGAAGGAGCGAGGCCGCGUGGAGGAUGAAGGUCUUCGGAUUGUAAACUCCUGUCAUUGGGGAACAAGGUGCAUACGUUAACUGCGUGUGCAUUGAUAGUACCCGAAGAGGAAGAGACGGCUAACUCUGUGCCAGCAGCCGCAGUAAGAC
rnacentral:rRNA from 1 species